rnacentral:rRNA from 1 species
CCUACAGGGUGCAGCAGUGAGGAAUAUUGGUCAAUGGGCGAGAGCCUGAACAAGCCAAGUCGCGUGAGGGAGUACUGCCCUAUGGGUUGUAAACCUCUUUUGUCGGGGAGCAAAAGCCGGACGUGUCCGGCUGUGAGAGUACCCGAAGAAAAAGCAUCGGCUAACUCCGUGCCAGCAGCCGCGGUAAUACGGAGGAUGCGAGCGUUAUCCGGAUUUAGUGGGUUUAAAGGGUGCGCAGGCGGAUUUUUAAGUCAGCGGUCAAAUCGUGGGGCUCAACCCCAUCCAGCCGUUGAAACUGGGGAUCUAGAGUGUGCGAGAGGUAUGCGGAAUGCGUGGUGUAGCGGUGAAAUGCAUAGAUAUCACGCAGAACCCCGAUUGCGAAGGCAGCAUACCGGUGCACAACUGACGCUCAGGCACGAAAGCGUGGGUAUCGAACAGGAUUAGAUACCCGGGUAGUC